AGCAUUUCCCAGAAGAAAGCCGUAGGGUUGUGGGCAAGCGAUGGCCGCUGUGUCUGUUGUUACACCAGCACGUGAGAGUGGGGCUAACAGGCUCCUUCAUACGUGUUUAUUCAACACGUAUUUAUUGAACUCGUUCUUACGCCAGGUGUUCCUGACUCUCCAGACAUUGAGGCCUACAUGCUUUCCUGCCGUUGCUGGGGUAACAUACUGUAUAGAGAAUCCGGGCCACAUUGGGAUAUGAGCACGGCACACAGAAAACAGGGAGGGAUUCAAAGACCUAGGAGAGAGCAUCUGAGUGAAGGAGCAGACCCCCUUGCUGUCCUGGGACUUUGAGAGGAAGGACCAGGGCACUUCUGCUCCUGCAGAAGUCCCUGGAUCCACCAGCAUCACCUUCAGUGGGAGAGAGGUAAUGCAGGGUGCUGCUAGGAAAGGGAGGAGAGCCCAGG